GUGGGAGUUUGAGGGGUGGUGUGGAGCGCUGGUCGAGGUUUAGGGGAGCCGGGAGAGGCCAGAGAGGCCGCUUUAAGACCGGAGAGAUUUCUCUUGAAGCCGUCCUUUCUCCUUCACUUCUCUCCUUGCAGCCCUGGCUGGCCUAGGGCCAUAGGCAAGGAGGCUGCUGGGGGUCCGUGCUGCCCUCCCGGGGCUCGUUUAUGGUUGGGGCGAUGCGUGGAUGCUGAUCCAUUAGCUUCUUGAUUGAUGACAUCUAAAGAGAAGCUUUCAGAUCUUAAAAGUCCGUCAACAGAAAAGCUCCUGGCAAAUAGCCCUUCACUGAUUAACCUCAUCCUCUGUUUCCCACUGUCCCAGCAGAACAUUCAAAGCUUCUGUGUGUGACUAAGGCAGGGUUGCAGAACAUUUAAUCCCCGACAGCUUGUGAUAAAAACGAAUUGGGAGGACGGAUGGUGGCGACGGUCAGAGACAGCGUGAGUGGACGUGAUGCCACUGAUGUAAAAAUAGUUCAAACGGCAAGCUUUGUGUGCAUUUUGCUACACUAAAGAUGAACGAAACCUUUCUGUUCUCUUGGCAGUAGUGAUGGUGCCUUGUACCUUAGGCCCUUUGGAAUCAAGUGCUAAAUAUGGUUUAUCCAUUGGCUUUCCUUCGUUUUUGAGCAAACAGGAUUGGGAUGCUUCAGUUGCCUGUAGCCAGUCUGUUAGCACUUGCAAAGAUGACUCCAGUCACUCUUCUUUAGACAGAGUCUUAAAUACUAAGAUGGAUGCCCACAGUUCACAAUGGGAAGUGAGUUUUAGAAGUUAUAUUUCUUUAACAACAAAUAUGAGACUGAAACUGAGGAAAGCGAAGUUUAAGUAUAGCACUUCCUUUAUGGGUAUAACAGCUACAAGUCCGAAGGAGCUUCGGUUACUGACUUCAAUCAAGUUGAGGAUUUCAAGCGAGAUCUUCAAUCAAGCGAAUCCCAUCUAACAUGGACUGGAUACAAUCCAUUCAAGACUUUCACUAUACUAACAUUUUCUUCCUACAGGACCCCACAAGGCUAUUGUCCCAUUUCAGCAGGAAGUAACUUGGAGGAUGCUACUCCCCCUUUCCCCAUUGUUGUCAUUUAGGAUACUGUAUAUACCUAGUUAGGGAUAGCUUCCUAUUGUUUAUGAUUGGGAUUGGAAGGAGGUGUUCAGGCUUGGACACCUCUUUCAGAUGACUUUAGGGUUUAGUUAAAACAGAUAGUUAGGAUGUGACAUAAGCAGAUUGUUGUGUCUUCUUAUAUUUCACCUUUAUUAUUGUUAAUUUUGGAUACUUUACUCUGUUAAGUUUUAAUCCUCUUUUAGACUAAAAGGGGAAUUGUAGGGGAACCUGUAGCCAUGUCUGCUUAGGGGCUGGCUACAGGUCUGCCUAACCACUCUUGUGAGGGUGUGGUCAGGGUGACAUAGAGUGAGAGGUUCAAGGCUGUGUUUCACUUUCUUUUUC
rnacentral:lncRNA from 1 species